CUAGUUCUGACCGUAAACGAUGCCAACUAGCGAUCCGCCGGUGGAUUUUUAGCCCUGGUGGGUAGCUUCCCGGAAACGAAAGUCUUCCGGUUCCGGGGGAAGUAUGGUUGCAAAGCUGAAACUUAAAGGAAUUGACGGAAGGGCACCACCAGGAGUGGAGCCUGCGGCUUAAUUUGACUCAACACGGGGAAACUCACCCGGCCCGGACACCGUAAGGAUUGACAGAUUGAUAGCUCUUUCAUGAUUCGGUGGUUGGUGGUGCAUGGCCGUUCUUAGUUCGUGGAUCGAUUU
rnacentral:rRNA from 1 species